ensembl:lncRNA
CUUUCUCAUUCCCAGGAGAGAUUUAUACAAGAUGGAGGAAAAAAGAAGGUGCAGCAACACACAGUUGUUUUGGCUCCUCUAUCCCUGGUUUGCUGUCAGUGUGAUGAGAGUGCAAGAAUCCUCCUUAAAGGUUCUAAAAUGGACUCAGUAUGAUGGAUGGAAAGCACCUUCAUCUGAUGAUGCUGAAGGAGACUGUGGAUUCCAGCUGCAAGCCAAUCCUGUGGUUUGCAGUUCAGCGAGAAUUUGGUUCACAUGCCACAUUCAGCGGCCAAGAGAACUAAAACAGACAUUUUUUCCCCUGAUUCAUAACUUCUUGAUUCUCUGAGUGGAUACCAUCCCCUGUGUUAGAAGGUCUGUUUGCAUGACCUAAGAAAAAUCCAGAAAAAAAAAAAAAAAAAAAACGAAACACAAAACAACAGUGACAUCAUGAAGAGGUAUUUCAUUUUGUCAUAAAAUCCACUGAAAGCUGGGAUUUCUUUUCAAGUAUUUACAAGAGACUAUGAAUCCUUCACCUCUCUGGUGCAUAAUUUGUGUUCCAGUCUCUGAGUUCUUCUAAGUAAGAGAUACCUCUGUUCUGUACAUCCUAUAUCUGCAGUCACUUGCAGGAACUUAUUAACCAGCUAUGCAGUAGAGCUUGCAAUGUAUUUUCUUUCUGUACUGUGGAAGCCAUCAGUUUUCAAACUCCUGUAAGACCAGAAGAGCACUCACUGUGGCAGCAUAAAACACAAAGGUCUGGACUGCCUACUCUGGGAGAUCAGUGCCUUCCAUUUCUGUCAGGAUUUCUUUCCAGGGCUGAGGUGUCACCUCUGAAUUAAGUUCACAAAGGACAAACCAAUUCUGAACAUACUUCUAUAAAUCCUCGUGGGACACAGUAUGGGGGCCCUUCCAGGAUGUGACCUUUAGAUAUUGACAGAGGAGGUGUAUAUGCGUGUAUUCUCAUAUGAUGGCAGCAGAGGGGCAGACUGACGGAAUCCAUCGGAAGCAAGGGUGUGCCACUGAAUUCCUCCAUGCAAGAAAAAAUGCCACCCAUUGACACUGAUCAAUGCUUGCUGAAUGUUUCUGAAGACCAACCUGUGGGUGUGAGCACAAUGAGGUGGAUUCCACUGACCUAACCAGUGUUGUUCAGCUCCAUUAAUGCUUUUUGAUUUGGAAGCACAAAUGAUUUCAGCAUCAGCCUGUGGUGGUGGUAUGUUCAACGAGAUAAGUAUUAAACAAGGAACCACUGAAAAACAGUAAAUUUAAAACCAUCAAAAAGCUUCAAGAUUCUUCUUGGAUGAGAUCCUUGUUAUCUUGGAUGUGUAAAUCCUACUGCAACUCAGUGACAGUCAAACUUACUUGUUCGCACCUUCUUUAAAGCUAUGGAAAACUUUGCUUGCUACAGAAAUUACGAAGUUAAAUAUACCUUCAGAUUUCUGUGGAUAUAAACCAUUUCUCCCUGAAUUUUGUUGGCCAGAUUGAAUUUCUCUUUUUUUUUAGGGAAAUAUGCAUCAUUUGGUAUUAACUUAUUAGGUGGUGGUACUUGGUAAGUAAAUGUAUUUUUAAAAUUUUACAGAAUAUUUCUUUCAAAAUAGCUGUAAGAUAUUGAAAUAACUAUUUUAUAACACCUCCUAUCAUGAUUGAAUGGAACAAAAUAAUGUCUGAUAUUGUCUAUCUGAGUAACUUCAUCCUUCUUCCAAAUUUGCUGAAUGAUCAUUUACUGUUUCCCAUUUCAGAUGAUCGAACAUUUCAUUGAUGAAGCUCAUAAAAAACUUAUUCAAAACCAUACUGAAAUUCAAUGACAUAUCUGAAAAUUAAAUGUUUUUUGUGCACGGACCAACCAUAGGUUAUAUCAGCAAGAUCCUUAUGUGAUCAAUUAGUGCUCCAAAGACAAACCUCUCUCCAGGAGUAAAAUAUGAGCCCCAGUCCUGGAGGGGAUUAACCCUCAGUUCGAGAAUAGUUAUUCAUUCCUGUAAUUGAAUACAAAAGACAUAGGGAUUGAUUUUCACCUAUACCCAAAUUCAUGGCUCCUGGGAGGGUAUGAGCUGCUGACAAAUAAUUUCAGCUUCAGCCAUUGAUUAUGCUUCUAUAGUGAACAUUACAUAUACAGUAAGGUUGAUAUAAUAUAUAUUGCUGGAGUAAUAUAAUAUAAGUACUCCCCAUUUCUUAACCUAUCUUUCACUACCCUUAAGCUGUGCCGUGCACAGGAGAUGUAGAAUUCGGCUUCCUAGGAAGGAAAUGGCCAUGAAGCAGAAAAAUGAAUUCACCCUCAUUGUAUUGUAGUGAUGUGGUGAAGAUAAUCACUGCAGCUUUAUUCCAUUUAUUUUGAAAGAGAAAGCCUUUGCCUUUUCAAACUGCCUUGACCAUAUCACCACUCAUCUAUUUGCAAUGAAAAUCUGACAUCAGAGUACAGAAUUAUAGCUGGAGAAAUUGUCUUCUCAUUUCAUAUUUACCUUGUUUCCUCUCCUGAGUCACUGGAAAUGCAGCGACCUAGGUCCGUGCUUUUACACUUUUUUUUACUAUAUAUACACACGUAGAUAAAAAAAUUAGUGUGUGUGUACUGCCAAACUCUUCAGCUCACUACUCAUCUUCCCAGGUGUCUUCACACACCGUAAUUUCUGGUGUUUAAAAUUGGUAGACUGCAAAAAGUAGCACUCCUGCGUUCCCUCUCAUUCAUAUUGUGAAUAUUCAGUUCUCCAAGAAUUUUGCUGCUGGUGUCUGACCAGCCAAGCCCAUAUCAGAAUCGGCCACAGUCUAAUCAUAGUUUUUACCAAUUAAAACUUGUGUGCUAUAAUUUGUUUUUGUUUGUUUGUUUGUUUGUUUUGAUAACCUAAAGCAUAUUCUACUGUUUGCUGUUAAAAUAAAAUCCUUUCUGUUUACCUCCUCAUGGCUCACUGAAAAAAAUAUAUGCUUACAAUUGCAGCUUUCAAAAUGUUUUUUAUUUCUUCAGAUUUCUACUACAAAGCUUCAAUGUAAUCAAUAAUUCUAACUAGCUAUCUGACAGAGUACUUAACUUUAUUUUUCCUAAUAAAAACAAAUAGUUGGAGAAGAAUGUGUCCAAAGCCAUUUUUUUCCAUUCCUUUCUCAUGGCUUGCCUCUUGUCUUCUGUAUAAGGAAUUUUAGCAUUUCAAAUUUUAAGCUGAAGAUAAAUCCUUCUUUUUGAAGAAGUGUUUCUCACCAAGAGAGCCUUUUUUUUUUUUAAAGUAAGGAUAGCAAAUCCAGCCUGAUAGAACAAACACCUGAAGACAUUUUCUGUACAAUAAUAUCUCUUUAACAGAAUUAAAAUUCUAGAGAUUUAAUUCUUUGCAGACUUAACUCAACUGAAGGAAUAAGAAAUGCUGUGAUAAAACAAUAUGAUUACUUCAGUCUCCAUGUAGUAUAAAGUACGAUUCUACAGGAUUUCUUCAGUAGCCCAUGUCCAUAGUGAUCUUAAUUUUUGCUUUGUCAGAAGAGCUCUAUGAUAGGUUAAUUCUUCAGAAAUACUUAUCGUCCAUUACAUCAGAUUUCAUUUAUUUCUCCACUAUGAAAUGCAAUUUUUGGAAUUAUUAUUCUUUUUAUUAUUGUUGCUAUUACAGAACUUCCAGUGUUGGACAAAUUUACUGCUGGUACCUUCCUGUUUUCAUCCCUUUUCUUCCAAAUCCAGUGCCUAACCAAUUGAUUGUUUACUUGGAUAAACAAUUUGUUUUCCCUAAUGAAAAAAGAUAAGACUUCAUUGCCUAUUUUGUGUGGAACUGGGGCUCCUCUAGCUUCUGCAUUUUUUCCUAUUACAUCAUAAGUCCUACUUCUAGACAGAAAUAAGAAUGAGAGAUUGCAGCCUGUAGAGCUGCUACUUAUAUAGCUGCUAGAGUUACUAUCUUAGCAUGCUCAAACAUAUUCCUUAUCUGCUUCUUUUUCACUGUUCUUUUCUGAUUAAUGGUGGAUUUCCUGAUAUGUUAGGAUAUUACUGUCCUAUCUGCAGAAAUAUUGUCUCUCAUUUGGAGGAUGGUGGGAUUUUUUUCAACUUAAAUUUUUACUUUGUGCAUUGUAAUACUAAUUUCAGUUCCUAAUUUUCCAGUAAGGCAAUUAGGACACUAAAAUUUCCCAAUCACGGAAAAAGUAAUUAGUUACUAGAAGAUAAGGAUGUGCAAAUUUGAACAAAUUUGUAUGUAUUUAUGGAUAUAAGAGUUGGCUUGCAUGUGUAACUUAGAAUUUUACAUAAAUGACAUAAACUCAUUUAAAUAUAUAAAAGUAAAAAUCCAGUACUUUUUCUAUUCAUCUUCUGUGGAAUUUAAUAGCUUUUUUUAAAAGGCAUGCAUUUUCAUGAAUUGAUGUUGGUAUAUAAGCAAGAUUAUGUAUUUUCUUCAUUAACUUUUACAAAGUAGAUAUGUAGGUGGAACUAAACAUUCAAAAGCUAAGCAAAGUUUGUGUUGUUUACAUAAAAGUAUUGGUAGAUUACAUCUACCCACAAAAAAAAAAAAAAGUCAUGUAUUUUUGUUUUCAGAUAAAAAUGCACAUCUCAAAGACUUUCUUCUCUACAACUCAAACUUUCCAAAGGUUUUGAGUCAAAUUAUAUCUGAGUGUUCACUUAAAAAAAGGAAAAAACAAAACAAACAAACAAAUAAAAAAAAAUCAGAACACGGAGUUCUGUAGAAGUUAGGUAUGGUAGUUAAAAACCUUUCUGUGAAUGGCCAAAAAUACCCAAACGUUGGACUUGCUGGAACAGGAUAUGUGUUGUAAAGGAAAGCUGACAACAGAUGUUCAUAUUGUUGAAUGCUUUUGACUCAGAUCAUCAUUGGGUUUCAAGCUGUUAAUGGUGAAAGAGGUAAGAUCUCCAAGACAAGAUCUCAAAGAAAGAAGAAACUGAUCAGAGUACUUAGAUCUGAUUAUUUCAACUCACCUGACUAGCAGAGUCUUGGAGUAAAUCUGCUGAUCUGAGUGGGAUAAUCAUCUUGACAUUGGCAUUGCCUUGCCAGUGGAAGCAAAGGGUUUUCAAACCAUGGAUGAGACAAUAGAAUUCCUCUCAUCAGUAGCAUGUUGAGGUGCCAUGAUAAGACAUUGACACAGAUGGUACACAGCAAAGCAAGGUGGAAGACUUCAGGGAACCAUCCAAGUCUUAUCCAGUGAUCCUCUUAUCUUUUCAAUACUAUGGACCAAGAAGCAAUGAUGCUUUAUGUUAAAAAAAAUAAUAAUAAAACAAAAAAGAGCAAUCUCAGGACAAGAAGUUACUACAGACAUAUAACCCUCAUUUCUAAAGGCAAAUCUGCCUUGCUUUCAUUUUUCAAAAGAAAAGGGCAAGUCUGUUUACUUCAUUCUCAUCAGAAGUGCUGACCCUUGUUCUGCUAAUCAGGAUAGAGCCUGCAUUGAUUCCACCUGGAAAAUAACAUAGCUGAAAAUCAGAUGGUUUACACUCACACCAAAAUAUAUAGCAAUAAUGAAGUUGGAAGAGCAAGGCUCAGCCUCAAGCUUGAUCUGACUCAUACCAUGAAAUCAUCAGGUUUUUUAAGCUCAGGAGGGUUACAGUUCUUCAUUAUCUGAAUGGAAGACUUCACAAAAAGCCUCAGGAGCUGAAGGAGCAAUGGAGAUACUUCAGCUUGAAAUCAAUACACUGGUGUGCUGCUCAGUUCCUUGGAUCACUUUGUCACUUGGAGGUGAGUACCAGCAGGGUUUGAAUGCUUACUGCCAUUACAAAACCUGCAGCAAGAGCAUCCCUGCAUCCUGUCGGUGCUCAGCUGACCUAUUAGAGAAGAUUACUGGAACUAAAUACCUUACUGAAGAAAGUGACAAAGCUAUUGAACCUAUGUCUGCCCACCCUUGGUCACAUCAAGCUCUGCUUGCCACAGUACAAGGGGACCCCUCUGCUAGCUCAGCUGCUGGAAAGAGUGGGGUCAUGAAGGCUGCCAUGUGAUGCUUUCCUAGUAUUGUUCCAGCCUGUGAGUUGGAGGUGGACAUCCUAAGCUUAAGGCGGACUUGGAGUUGC